rnacentral:lncRNA from 1 species
UGGGUUUCCUAGUCAAAUUGGUACUAUGCUACUUUUGCUUGUCCUUCAUCCUGGCUGAAGCCCAAAGAGCAAAUGUUGAAAUUCGAAAUCAAAUACAAGAAAAUAUUGAAGCAGUUUGUUAUUCUGGAGACCGUGAUUUUGGUACCCAUGAAAUUUUACCUGGCGGUAGAAUCUCCUUUCUCCUCGUACAAAACAAUUAUUUGCGUGACCCGUUUUAUUGUCAUUUUAAGACAAGUCAUGGUGGUGGAAAAUUUGCCAUUUAUGAUUAUGAAUUGGAGAAGUUAUGUCACACAAAUUGUAUCUGGCUUAUAUCGAGUAAUGGGCCGUGUUUAAGGCUUAAUGAAGGACCAGUACAAUCCAAGUGUCAACAGUGGCAGGACCCUCAGCCUGCAGUGUUACCUUAACCCCUAAAUUGUCUCUCCACUCCCCCGCCCCCCGAAGGCUUCUGAAGUUGGAGUAAUAAGAAAUGAAUCAAAUGUUGUCUUUUAUUUAAAAAUUUCAGCUUUGGGUAAUGAUAACAAUAUGUACUCCUUAUGUUAGUUCGAUCUGUC